GCCCUAGUGGUGUAAGGGCAUCAGCAUGCGUCCCCGGUAUGGAUGAAACGUGGGUUCCACUCCCGCCUGAGGCC